AAAUAGGAUUUACUUAAAUCCAUUAUUUCAAGAAUGAAGAAGACA
rfam:Dipodomys ordii contig_69399, whole genome shotgun sequence.